rnacentral:rRNA from 1 species
GUGCCUAAUACAUGCAAGUCGAGCGAGCGGAACCAACAGAUUUACUUCGGUAAUGACGUUGGGAAAGCGAGCGGCGGAUGGGUGAGUAACACGUGGGGAACCUGCCCCUAAGUCUGGGAUACCAUUUGGAAACAGGUGCUAAUACCGGAUAAUAAAGCAGAUCGCAUGAUCAGCUUUUGAAAGGCGGCGUAAGCUGUCGCUAAGGGAUGGCCCCGCGGUGCAUUAGCUAGUUGGUAAGGUAACGGCUUACCAAGGCGACGAUGCAUAGCCGAGUUGAGAGACUGAUCGGCCACAUUGGGACUGAGACACGGCCCAAACUCCUACGGGAGGCAGCAGUAGGGAAUCUUCCACAAUGGACGCAAGUCUGAUGGAGCAACGCCGCGUGAGUG